AGAUAAUUUUGCAAAUGCAGAAAUCCUCCAGGUGCACAACCACUGGAAGUUCAGCAGUGAAGGAUUUUGCACCUAGAUUUUUAUCUUCUCAUCCGGGGUGAAUAAGAAACAUUAGUAUUGUGACUGGUGAAAAUAUCCGGCCAUCUUAUGCUGGAGAUGAGGAAGAACUCUUAAAGAAAGUGGUAACACCUAUCUAACGUGUCAUUAGAAAGUUCUAUCGCAUUGGCCUGAAAGAAAAUUCAUUCAUUGCAAAGAUGAGGACACUAUUUCCAAGUAUUUGUGACUACUUGUGCGGUAGCUGAAGAUGGCAUUUUCAUUUUAUACAUACUCCAUCUAUACAUACUCUCAGAGGUACAAAGAGUAGUGAAAUGGUCUUGUACUACAGGGUUAUAAUGGUAGCCAACUUCGGGACAGAGAUAUCAUAGCUGAAGCUAUACUGUUUACGGAACUAAGAGAAGAGUUAGGUCCUACUCUUAAACUAUCUAAUGACUGGGCCUACUCUUAAACUAGCUCAUGAUUGCAUACAAAAUUCUUAGUUACUGGUAUCACCAUACAUCCAAAGGUCCAUGGAGCUUCUCUGUUGCUGAUCAUGGUUGGCAUGUACCAGACUGCACCACAGUAGGAAUAAAGGUAUCGCUGCCAUUACGAUAUACAUAAUAUAAAUAUUGUCCUGAUCUAUAUAGAAAAAAUUACAAGUAGUUUAGGAUGACUGAACAUCCUGUCGCAGUCAAUAUUUGCUAGGAAAUU